rnacentral:rRNA from 1 species
CGGAGCCGGAGCGAAAGCGAGUCUGAAUAGGGCGCUUAGUUAGUAGUAUUAGACGCGAAACCUUGUGAUCUACCCAUGGGCAGGUUGAAGCUUUGGUAACACAAAGUGGAGGACCGAACCGGUUGACGUUGAAAAGUCUUCGGAUGACCUGUGGGUAGGGGUGAAAGGCCAAUCAAACUGGGAGAUAGCUCGUACUCCCCGAAAUGCAUUUAGGUGCAGCGUCGUGUAUAAGUUUAUUAGAGGUAGAGCUACUGAUUGGAUGCGGGGGAGUCAAAUCCUACCAAUUCCUGACAAACUCCGAAUGCUAAUAAAUGUUCCACGGCAGUGAGGGCGCGGGUGCUAAGGUCCGUGUCCGAGAGGGAAAGAACCCAGACCAACAGCUAAGGUCCCCAAAUUUCUGUUAAGUUGAAGCAACGCGGUUGGACUGCAUUGACAGCUAGGAUGUUGGCUUGGAAGCAGCCAUUCAUUUAAAGAGUGCGUAACAGCUCACUAGUCGAGCGGUCCGGCAUGGAUAAUAAUCGGGCAUAAACAGAAUACCGAAGCUAUGGAUUUACAGUCAUUGGAUUGUAUCUGGUAGGGGAGCAUUCUAUAGGCACAGAAGCUGAGUCGUGAGGCUUGGUGGAGCGUAUAGAAAAGAAAAUGUAGGCAUAAGUAACGAUAAAGCGGGCGAGAAACCCGCUCACCGAAAGACUAAGGUUUCCUCAGCCAUGCUAAUCAGCUGAGGGUUAGUCGGGACCUAACGCGAACCCGAAAGGGGUAGUGGAUGGACAAUGGGUUAAUAUUCCCAUACUUGCUCACACUAAAAAGGGGACGGAGUGCCGUACUUACUGGAGACUGACGGAAUAGUCAAGACCUAGCCUUCGGGCGAAGUUGUUGUAGGGAAAGUGCUUCCAAGAAAAGCCGAAGUGAAGCAACCCGUACCAUAAACCGACACAGGUAGUCGAGGAGAGAAUCCUAAGGUGCUAGAGUGAAUCAUGGUUAAGGAACUAGGCAAAAUAGUCUCGUAACUUCGGGAGAAGAGACGCCAUCAGCAAUGGUGGCCGCAGUAAAAAGGCCCAGGCGACUGUUUAUCAAAAACACAGGACUCUGCAAAAUCGAAAGAUGCAGUAUAGGGUCUGACACCUGCCCGGUGCUGGAAGGUUAAGGAAGGGCGUUAGCAGCAAUGCGAAGCGUUUAACUGAAGCCCCAGUAAACGGCGGCCGUAACUAUAACGGUCCUAAGGUAGCGAAAUUCCUUGUCGGGUAAGUUCCGACCUGCACGAAUGGUGUAACGAUCUGGGCACUGUCUCAACCAUGAGCUCUGUGAAAUUGUAGUCUCGGUGAAGAUGCCGAGUACCCGCAAUGGGACGAAAAGACCCUGUGAACCUUUACUAUAACUUCGUAUUGACUUUGAGUAAGUAAUGUGUAGGAUAGGUGGGAGACUUUGAAGCAGGCACGCUAGUGUUUGUGGAGUCAACGUUGAAAUACCACCCUUUACUUACUUGGAGCCUAACUUCUUUUAGAAGGACACUGCGUGGUGGGUAGUUUGACUGGGGUGGUCGCCUCCAAAAGAGUAACGGAGGCUUUCAAAGGUACCCUCAGCACGCUUGGUAACCGUGCGUAGAGUGUAAUGGCAUAAGGGUGCUUGACUGUGAGACCUACAAGUCGAUCAGGUGCGAAAGCAGGACAUAGUGAUCCGGUGGUUCCGUAUGGAAGGGCCAUCGCUCAUAGGAUAAAAGGUACUCCGGGGAUAACAGGCUAGUCUCCCCCAAGAGCUCAUAUCGACGGGGAGGUUCGGCACCUCGAUGUCGGCUCGUCACAUCCUGGGGCUGGAGAAGGUCCCAAGGGUUGGGCUGUUCGCCCAUUAAAGUGGCACGCGAGCUGGGUUCAGAACGUCGUGAGACAGUUCGGUCUCUAUCUAUUGCGGGCGUUAGAUGUUUGAGAGGGCUUGAAUCUAGUACGAGAGGACCGAUUUGAACAAACCUCUGGUGUAUCAGUUGUUCCGCCAGGAGCACCGCUGAGUAGCUACGUUUGGAAGAGAUAAGCACUGAAAGCAUAUAAGUGCGAAACUCGCCUCAAGAUGAGACAUCUUUUAAGGGUCGUUGGAGAUGACAACGUUGAUAGGCUAUAGGUGUAAAGUUGGUAACAGCAUAGCCGAGUAGUACUAAUUACCCGUAGAUUUAUAGCC